rnacentral:rRNA from 1 species
UAGGGAAUCUUCCACAAUGGACGCAAGUCUGAUGGAGCAACGCCGCGUGAGUGAAGAAGGUUUUCGGCUCGUAAAGCUCUGUUGUUGGUGAAGAAGGAUAGAGGCAGUAACUGGUCUUUAUUUGACGGUAAUCAACCAGAAAGUCACGGCUAACUACGUGCCAGCAGCCGCGGUAAUACGUAGGUGGCAAGCGUUGUCCGGAUUUAUUGGGCGUAAAGCGAGCGCAGGCGGAAUGAUAAGUCUGAUGUGAAAGCCCACGGCUCAACCGUGGAACUGCAUCGGAAACUGUCAUUCUUGAGUGCAGAAGAGGAGAGUGGAAUUCCAUGUGUAGCGGUGGAAUGCGUAGAUAUAUGGAAGAACACCAGUGGCGAAGGCGGCUCUCUGGUCUGCAACUGACGCUGAGGCUCGAAAGCAUGGGUAGCGAACAGG